UGGGGAAUAUUGGACAAUGGGCGAAAGCCUGAUCCAGCCAUGCCGCGUGUGUGAAGAAGGUCUUCGGAUUGUAAAGCACUUUAAGUUGGGAGGAAGGGCAGUAAAUUAAUACUUUGCUGUUUUGACGUUACCGACAGAAUAAGCACCGGCUAACUCUGUGCCAGCAGCCGCGGUAAUACAGAGGGUGCAAGCGUUAAUCGGAAUUACUGGGCGUAAAGCGCGCGUAGGUGGUUCGUUAAGUUGGAUGUGAAAUCCCCGGGCUCAACCUGGGAACUGCAUUCAAAAC
rnacentral:rRNA from 1 species